UAAAGGUCAGGUAGUCAUAUGACCUGUAUGGCCAUAUCACAAACUGUCCAACUGAUUAUAAGAGUACUGAAAUCAGAGAAACAUGCAUUUAUAUGCAGUGAAGGACAGGAGAUGCACAGAGAUUUAAUUUAGAAUUUUCUUAUUUUAUUUUUGGCUAUAUUUGUUAUAAUAAUUGCAAAACUGAAAUCAGAGUUUAAACUUUAAGCUAAACACUUAAAGCUGGAAUGUGUGACAGAAGAUCUGUAAUAUCUGCCAUAGUUGCUGGCGUGGUGAGAGAGGGAUUUUCUCCCUUUGACUCUUUCUUACAGUGCGAGGAAUGACGCCUGGAGCAUGUGCACCAGACGAGUGCUUUUUUGGAGUUUGGCUGUUCUUCUCUGUCUUUCAUAUGGGACUCGGGGGGUCCAGCAUCUCUCUGGGUGUGCUGGGGAUCCCACAAGCCCACUGGCUACAGAAAAGCCAAACCUCUUUCUCCACACCGAUAUGGAGCGGCAUGUGUUUUCUUGUCUGUGGACUAUGUGGGAUACUGUGUGCGAA